rnacentral:lncRNA from 1 species
CGAACCUCUGCAGGUCUGUAAGACAUCUGUAGAAAAAUUGCAUAUCAUUUAUUACCAUAUUGAACUGAUAUAUUCUAUUUUAACAAUCUAAAAUAUUAAUAACAUAUUGUUUUUAAAUUAUAACCAACUAAUAUAACCAAUAUUAUUGAAGCAAAAUGUCUUACAUAUUCUGCAAAUUUUACAUAAUGUUUUACAUGUCUUAUUUAGCCGUUUUAUAUGUCCCAUUUAGCCAACAAUCAUAACCUAACGCGGUUGAAGAAGUAGCGUGAAAAGAAAAAAUUGGCUAAUAGGACUCAUAUUUUUCGAAGGAACUUUUUGUUCAGAAAUAUUGGGCGAAGUGGCGAGCUAUAUAUUUUUUGCCCUUCGAAAAUAAUCCCGUCGCCUGCUCAUAUCGGACGCAAAACGAGAUAAGAAAAGUGAUAGUGAUUGAGUUUGAAAAAAGAUAGAGGAGUAUGGGGGUUUGGGGAGUGAGGUUGAAGAUAGGGAUAUGAAUGGAUCGACUGAUCUCAUUGAAGAGACGAAGCCAGCUGAGAGUGCGAACGUAGAUGUUGAUAAUAUUAAUGAUGCCAAACACAGCAUAGUGACCAUAUAAGCAUUCAAAGCACAAAAUCUGUGAUUAUAGCGAGGUGGUUCUGAAACUUCUGGGUCAAAACUGGCUCAUGCACCAGGCUUUCCCUUUUACACUACAUCUUCUUUGAUACCAGUGUGAUGGGGCCAGAGAAUUUGUGGCUAGGGUUGCGUUUUGCUUCUUUCAUCUUUCUCAUUAUGUAGCAGAGAGCAUGGUACAUUUUAUAGGAUGUAGAGUCUAGGUUACUAUAAAUGCUUUUCAAAUUAUGCCAG